GGGUGAUAAGUUUAUAUUUAAUUUUAACUUAGUCAGCAACCCUCACAAUCUAUUAAGUUAGGAUGACCUAAAUCACCACAUCAUUAUUAUAUUAUGAUAAUAAUCUAACAAACAUUCAACCUCAAAUGAAAGAUUAACAAAACAUAUUUCCGAAACCCAAUUCAGUUUAGGUCAACCAAUCCAUAGCAAAGCACAUCAUGAAAAACAAAUUUCAACUAGGAAUAACAUCACAUAUUGUUUAUAAUGAAAUCCCAUACACAAUAUUAAGUUAAAAGAGCAAGAAAUGGACCUUUAUGAUCAAGCUUUCAAUUAAAUAGAAUCAGCCACGAAUGAAUUGCAAACGAAAAUCACUGACCGAAUUGUAUCAAAAAUCGACAUGAGACGGAGACCGCGCCAGCAACAUCGACGAACCCACGAUUAGGCAGCCUCCAAACAGAGAUUCAAAUAAAGGAUUCAAAUUGGGGUAGUUUUUCCAAAUUCAGCGUAUUUUUUAUCGCUAUUUUCCCACCUUUUCUUACGUUUCAGAUAAGUUUUUGGAACCUCUUGUUGUUGUUGUAGGUGUCUUCUAGGUUCAGGGGGUGCCGGCGACCGGUGGGUGUGAACAACAUUGGAAUGGUUUUUGUAGGUGGUGUGUCUACUAGGAGAUGGAGAGAAAGUCCAGCGGCGUGUGUAGGUUGAUAACAGCGGAGGUCUUGGAGAGGAGAUGUGGUGGGGUCGAUGGAUGGUGGUUUGUCUUAAAGCGGCAGCUACAUCGGUUGAGAGGAUUCCGGGUGGCGACUGUUGCUUGUGUCUAAGGUUAUGAAGAAGAAGAAAAUGGCUGAAGGUUCUCUUAGGUUUAGUUCCGUCUUUUCUUAAGAAGAAGCUCACGCCUUAUACCAAAAAUGUCCAUGUCUCCUCUAGGGUUCAGCCCUUGUGUCUAUUCAAGAAAAAGGAGUGGCUCCAAGUUCUACGGCUAGGUUUUUAUUUUUAAGCUUAAGUUUUUUUAGUUCAAAAAGAAAAACCUGAUAGGGAAUUGGGCUUGGGAUUGUGGGCUAAGGUUUGACUUGGGAC
rnacentral:lncRNA from 1 species